rnacentral:snRNA from 1 species
AGCUUUGCGCAGUGGCAGUAUCGUAGCCAAUGAGGUUUAUCUGAGGCGCGAUUAUUGCUGAUAUGAUACAAGCUUAUUUCUGGCUCACAUAAAGGAAGUUGGUCUGGUGUUUGUUCAUGUGAUUAGAGAUCUUGGCAUCCUUGUUCUGUCCCUGUGUCCUCGAGCAGG